GACAGAGGUGGCAAGCGUUAUUCGGAUUUAUUGGGCGUAAAGGGCGCGUAGGCGGCCAGGUGCGUCCGGUGUGAAAACGCUACCGCUUAACGGAGCGAAUGCGCUGGAUACGAUCUGGCUUGAGUCAGGGAGAGGUGAGCGGAAUUCCUGGUGUAACGGUGGAAUGUUUAGAUAUCAGGAAGAACACCGGUGGCGAAGGCGGCUCACUGGCCCUGUACUGACGCUGAGGCGCGAAAGCGUGGGGAGCAAACGGGAUUAGAUACCCGUGUAGUCC
rnacentral:rRNA from 1 species